UGAGGCCAGCCAUGACAUCAGAGAGA
rnacentral:piRNA from 2 species